UACAGAGGUGGCAAGCGUUGUUCGGAAUUACUGGGCGUAAAGGGCGAGUAGGUGGCCAUCUAAGUCAGACGUGAAAUCCCCCGGCUUAACCUGGGAACUGCGUCUGAUACUGGACGGCUCGAGUAUGGGAGAGGAACGUAGAAUUCCAGGUGUAGCGGUGAAAUGCGUAGAUAUCUGGAGGAAUACCGGUGGCGAAGGCGGCGUUCUGGACCAUUACUGACACUGAAUCGCGAAAGCUAGGGGAGCAAACGGG
rnacentral:rRNA from 1 species